CGGAAACCUAAAGAUACAGAAUUAAAAUAAUGUGAUAAAAAGAUCCUCCGUCCUUUUCUAAACUUCUUUUUAAAGUUUUAAAUUUGGUAAAUUAGAUGUUCCCUGAAUUUAGAGUAUCCAUGGGAACAUGUCCCAUUUUUACCAGAAAUUAAUAUACCCAUAGGAACAUUACGGUACAUGUUCCUCUCCAAAGUAAUAAAGGUAUCCAUUGGAACAUCACAUGUUCCUCUCCAAAGUAAUGAAGGUAUCCAUAGGAACAUCACAUGUUCCUCUCCAAAGUAAUGAAGGUAUCCAUAGGAACAUCACAUGUUCCUCUCCAAAGUAAUAAAGGUAUCCAUAGGAACAUCACAUGUUCCUCUCCAAAGUAAUGAAGGUAUCCAUAGGAACAUCACAUGUUCCUCUCCAAAGUAAUGAAGGUAUCCAUAGGAACAUCACAUGUUCCUCUCCAAAGUAAUAAAGGUAUCCAUAGGAACAUCACAUGUUCCUCUCCAAAGUAAUGAAGGUAUCCAUAGGAACAUCACAUGUUCCUCUCCAAAGUAAUGAAGGUAUCCAUAGGAACAUCACAUGUUCCUCUCCAAAGAAAUAAAGGUAUCCAUAGGAACAUCACAUGUUCCUCUCCAAAGUAAUGAAGGUAUCCACAGUAACAUCCCAUGUGUCUUACCAAUGUAAAUAAGGUAUCCAUAGGAACAUGGGAGCCUCGGUGGCCAAGUGGUCUAAGUAGUUAUAACUGUAAUCACUAGCCAGUCAACACUGAGGUUGUGAAUUCAAACCCCACUCGUGCGGGUGCACAUGACUCCAAUCUUAAUUGACUUAGGGUUGUCAGUUUUCCUAUUGAAGGUCAGUGGUUUUCUCCAGGCACUCUGGCUUCCUCCACCAAUACAAACUGGCCGCCAUGAAAUAGCCAAAGUAGUGCUUAAAAGUGGCGUUAAAACACCAAAAAAUCAAAUUCAAAUCCAUAGGUGCACUGCAUGCUCCAAAUUUACUGGUAUCUGAUAUCCAUUGGAAUCCAAAUUUAGUUGUUUAGUUUGUAUUGAUGACAGAAUUGGCUUUACAAUGAACUUUGAACUCAAAGAAAUGGAUACACAUGUUUCAGAAAAAUAAGUUUGGUACCUAUAUCUCUUUUCACACUUUUGUUGUUUUUAAAUAAUUUGUAAAUUUUAUUGUAAAUGUAACAUAUUUAAGUUGUCAAAUUUUUGUGUAAAAAGGGGAAUGACCAUUUCAAAACUGUUUUUCAAUAUUUUUGUUAAAGAUUUUCAGAAGGAAACAGAAAAAUUAUUUUAUAAAAAUGUGGAUAGUGUCAAAUGUGUAUAUAGUUUUAAGAAAAAUAGAAAAAAAAAAAAAAAUGCAUGGGUGAUGGGUUUUUAAUGAUUUUAAGAAAAAUAGAAAAAAAAAAAAAGAAAAAAUAUGCAUGGGUGAUGGUUUUUAAUGAUUUUAAGAAAAAUAGUAAAAAAAAAACAAAGAAA